GAUGAACGCUGGCGGCGUGCCUAAUACAUGCAAGUCGAGCGAACAGACGAGGAGCUUGCUCCUCUGACGUUAGCGGCGGACGGGUGAGUAACACGUGGAUAACCUACCUAUAAGACUGGGAUAACUUCGGGAAACCGGAGCUAAUACCGGAUAAUAUAUUGAACCGCAUGGUUCAAUAGUGAAAGACGGUUUUGCUGUCACUUAUAGAUGGAUCCGCGCCGCAUUAGCUAGUUGGUAAGGUAACGGCUUACCAAGGCAACGAUGCGUAGCCGACCUGAGAGGGUGAUCGGCCACACUGGAACUGAGACACGGUCCAGACGCCGACGGGAGGCAGCAGUAGGGAAUCGUCCGCAAUGAGCGGAAGACUGACGGAGCAACGCCGCGUGAGUGAUGAAGGUCUUCGGAUCGUAAAACUCUGUUAUUAGGGAAGAACAAAUGUGUAAGUAACUAUGCACGUCUUGAAGGUACCUAAUCAGAAAGCCACGGCUAACUACGUG
rnacentral:rRNA from 1 species